CUAAUAAAUGCAGUAAUAGGGGUUCUGGCUUAAAAUCAAUAUUCCUCCACAAGUCAUUUUGCGCCACUGACCAAUAUGAAACUGAAACUACACUAGAAGAUAUUUGCAGUAUUUGGAUUUUAAAAUUGAAUUAAACUGUGCCAUUCUUGUUCAUAUUAGGGGAAUGCAUAAUUUGUUAUGAUUCUCAUAGCUGAUUCCGGAGUAUAAUGUGAUUUUUCUAGCAUUGUGUGUUACAAGACAGGUUGAUCUGUUGUAGGUGUCUCCAACUGAGUUGACAAUAGAUAUCAGAGAUGAACCUGACGAGAUUCGAUCUGAGCCAGCUCCUCCUGGCAUGGACUGAGACAGACUUCAGUGUCAUCAUCAUCACUAACAAGGGCAUCUUCAGGGUACCCUAGUGCUCUCACGUGAUCUUCACUGACAGGACAAGUUAAGAAGUUCCAGAUAGGUAUUAUCCGGUAUCUGCCAAUGCAUUCUAACACCCAUUCAUGUCCAAUAGGAAGUACUCCAUAGCGCUCCCACCAUUCUGAAACAGGAUUAGAAACUAUAGUGUACUCCAAACAUAUUAACUAUAUGAAGCAUAGUCUGUGAAAAGCUGUGUCAUUCGGCUGGCCAAGAAAUUCACACAUGUUCACAAUGGCCUGCCGCUGGACACUUACUUGAGCAAGCUAGAUUCACUUCAUACCCUUGCAUCCUGUUUCUUUGAAAUCCACAACAAAAAUAGUCUACUCAGAAACAGUGUAUUUUUAUAGGCUAUGUAGAUAUAUAUACAUCCAUAUAUUAAUCAUUAUAGUGUCCCGAAAACCAAACAACUGCAGCUUUUUUGAGCUUCAGUUUUAAAAUAUAUCAUCAUUUUACUUCAUUGAUUAGGCUGGAACAAUUCUUCCAGAUGUCUAAUUAGGCAGGCAGGAGUUCUCUUACCAGAGAUAACUGGUCUCCCCUAAAAGUAGCGGUGCUGAGUAGCAGCACCCAUAGUGAAGGCAUUCCUCUCUUCAUGGAACACGAAUGUAAUCUGCUCUUAAUUUCUCUGUGAAUGCAGAUCUGAAUUUGUCUACUGAAAUAUAAAUCUGGGUCCUCUAGCCCAAUGGCUUUGCAAACUCACUAUUAGCCCCAACAUAAAAUUCUUCAAACAUGUGGUGCAGAAAUUUAGUAACACCUACCUUUACACUCUUCUUCUCUCUCUGUAUCCAUCUGGACAAUAAUCAUACCACAUUGUCCAGCUUUGAAUGAAAACUCUUCAGGAUGACUCACAAUUUCUGCUCCACAUUCUUUUAAAAUCUCCUACAAAACAUACUACAAAUUAAAAUCAAUUAUCAGUGCAGUGUAGUUUCCAGAUUAGGUGGAAGAAGUAAUAAAAGAGACACAGGUACUAAAGGAAACACAUUCCUCCUUUGCUAUCAUGUCAAUGUGGCACUAUCACCAUAACUUUUCACUAUCGAUAAUGUAGAGUGUAGCACCAUAAUGGCCCAUCCUAUAUAAAAAAUUCUAACACUUUAGAUUCCAAACGCAUAAUUUUCAACAUCUUUUCCCCUCUACAUUUUUCCAUAUUUUGCUAAAUAACAGAGUUCUCCUAUGUCCCCAGACUUACAGGGUAUUCUGUAAAAUGAAUGAGAACUUGAAGUCAUGAUGGAAGGCAAGAUAAUUUAAGAUAAAACUCACAAAAAUUAUUAAUGUUGCUAGUAUAGUAUGCAGUAAACAAUGUAAAAAAGUCAAUACUGUAAACUUACACACAUUCUUGUUUCAGUGUUAACAUGAAAGUUUGUUGAACUUUUAUAACAUGAGUUACUAUAUACCAUUAAAUUAUAACAUAUUAUUGAAAUGUUAACAUAUUUGGUAAUAAUUUCUCACCUCUAGUUGUUCUCUGUUGAGAUCAGUGAAAGGUUCAAUGCAGCAAAACUCAAAAUUUUUGUACAGUAGAUCAGAUGAUGUACGGGAUCGGUGUGGCCCAUUUUCACCAGAAGAAUCAAGCAUUUCAUAUUCAUCCUGAAAUUAGAACAGUUUACUAAAAAAAAAUAAAGGUUUACAUAUUUUUCUGCUCCAUUA